rnacentral:rRNA from 1 species
UGGGGGAUAUUGCACAAUGGGCGAAAGCCUGAUGCAGCGACGCCGCGUGGGGGAUGAAGGCCUUCGGGUUGUAAACUUCUUUUGCUCUGAACAAGGCGCACCAUGGGGUGUGUUGAGUGUAGGGGUUGAUUAGCGCCGGCUAACUACGUGCCAGCAGCCGCGGUAAUACGUAGGGCGCGAGCGUUGUCCGGAAUUAUUGUGCGUAAAGGGCUUGUAGGUGGCUGGUUGCGUCUGUCGUGAAAGCUCAUGGCUUAACUGUGGGUUUGCGGUGGGUACGGGCUGGCUUGAGUGCAGUCGGGGAGGCUGGAAUUCCUGGUGUAGCGGUGGAAUGCGCAGAUAUCAGGAGGAAUACCGGUGGCGAAGGCGGGUCUCUGGGCUGUUACUGACACUGAGGAGCGAAAGCAUGGGGAGCGAACAGG